GGGACAACAGUUGGAAACGACUGCUAAUACCGCAUAAGCCCACGGGUCGGCAUCGACCUGAGGAAAAAGGAGUGAUCCGCUUUGAGAUGGCCUCGCGUCCGAUUAGCUAGUUGGUGAGGUAACGGCCCACCAAGGCAACGAUCGGUAGCCGGACUGAGAGGUUGAACGGCCACAUUGGGACUGAGACACGGCCCAGACUCCCACGGGAGGCAGCAGUGGGGAAUAUUGCACAAUGGGGGAAACCCUGAUGCAGCGACGCCGCGUGGAGGAAGAAGGUCUUCGGAUUGUAAACUCCUGUUGUUGAGGAAGAUAAUGACGGUACUCAACAAGGAAGUGACGGCUAACUACGUGCCAGCAGCCGCGGUAAAACGUAGGUCACAAGCGUUGUCCGGAAUUACUGGGUGUAAAGGGAGCGCAGGCGGGAAGACAAGUUGGAAGUGAAAUCUAUGGGCUCAACCCAUAAACUGCUUUCAAAACUGUUUUUCUUGAGUAGUGCAGAGGUAGGCGGAAUUCCCGGUGUAGCGGUGGAAUGCGUAGAUAUCGGGAGGAACACCAGUGGCGAAGGCGGCCUACUGGGCACCAACUGACGCUGAGGCUCGGAAGUGUGGGUAGCAAACAGGAUUAGAUACCCUGGUAGUCCACACCGUAA
rnacentral:rRNA from 1 species